rnacentral:misc_RNA from 1 species
GUAUUUUAAUUUAGGAAUUCAUGGAAAUUGACACUUGCUGCAGCCUGCAGUCCAUAUACUUUAUUUUUAUUAUAUAAUUUGUCAUGUGUAAUUAAAAUCAGGGCUUCUGCCCGUAUUCUAAAUUUUAGGUUUGUAGAGUGCUUGGAUUUGUCUGAGUUGCUUAUCUUUAAAAUCCAGCUCUUCCCUUGCUUCCUUCUUUUUAUUCUAUGUUAAUGUGGAUCUCAUUCCAAAAUCUUCAAUCUUCUCUUGCCUUCUCUCUAUCUUCCCAAUGUGCGUGCUCACAAACAUAUUCAGC